UCAGAAAGAAGAGCCAAUUUUCUCCCACCUGCAGCUCCCAAAGCCACCGUUCUCAUAAACUACUUUCUG
rnacentral:tRNA from 1 species